CUCCUGCCUCGGCCUCCCAAAGUGCUGGGAUUAUAGGCGUGAGCCAUCAUACCCAGCCCUCCUUAAUUUUUUAACAUGAAUUAAUAGGACUUGGACACACAUAGCCUCAUUUAUAUGGGCAGCCAUCACAGCCUGCCACGUAUCAGAUGAGGUCUCUGGGGCUCUCACUCCUUGCAUCGGGACUGAUGCCACAUGUGGCCCAGCUGUAGGUCACAUUCAUCUCCUGCGUUCUCCGGGAUCAGAUGGAAUACCAGCACAUCUACCCUCGUGUGCCCUGGGAGUUUGUAAUAAUGUAUGAAUAUGUAGAUUUAUUUCAGAGAACAUUUUCAGAAUCCUGUUGCGCAUGUGCACAAAAAUAUUGGCUGCAGUGUGUUUAUAACCAUGAAAACUCCAAAAUAGCUUCAAUCUCCUGUGAAAGGGGAGUGGUUGAAGGCCCUCCAGCACGUGCACAGAAUUCUUUCUUCAGCCAUUGAAACAUGAAAAUGACGGUUAAAAAUGACUCCAUUAUGGGGAAAAGGGACAGGAUGCAAAUGGCAUGAUGAUAUGAUGGCACGAUGUAUGAUAAGGAAAGAAAAAGAUGUUGUAAAAGGUCACAUAAAGUCACCCGCAGAUCAGCAGUCAUGCCAUGAUUAGCUGCUCUGUGCCAGACACACAGGCUGCAAAUUGUAGCUGCUCACCCCAGGAAGUGGGCAGCUGCCCCUCUGUGCCUCCGUUGCCUCUGUUAGGCUCCUGGAAGCCCCCUUCAUUGCUGUGUAAUGACAUCUUCAUCACCACAUGUAACAGCUUCUUUACCACUAUGUGCAAUGUCAUUCUGUGUGCCUCUUGGGCUAAACCAUCACAGAGGAAAAGAGUGCUGGAGAAAUGCCAGGGAUAUCGGUACGGAAAUGUUCCAGAUGGAAAGUCUCGGCUUCAGGUGACCGUAGCAGUGAAUGUCAGGGUCAAACAGGGGGUGUAUUCUUGGGAGAGCGUCAGCUCGUCUGUGACCUAGUGUUCAGCCGGCUUCCCGGAAAGGAGGCUGCAUCCUGACAUUGAAGCCCUGUGUGCUAGGAUGAGUGUGUUACGCAGAGCCUUACACAUGAGAAAAUCUUGCAUCCUCAGGACAGGCGGUUAGUGUUGCUGUCUGGAAUCCACCGGCUACGUCCCUCCUCCCUCCACCACUUAAAAUUCCCUGAAUCUGACAGUGGUAGGGAAAGGGCUGAUCCUGGAGAAGAUUGUUCCUUGAUAAUCCUAGUAUGAUUCAUAAUGGUUGCAGCAGAUGAGCCCUGAGGUCCGUGGCUCAGUCUGCAGCUGAGGAAGGCUCUUCCCUGGGGAGGUGUGUCCAGCUUCUCGGGAAGACCUCAGCUGUCUGGCUGGCCUGGGCUGCCCAGUUCUUAGCAGUGCGUCAGUGAUCAGCAGCCCCUGACCAUCAGACAGCGUUUCCCGCCUGCCAGAGAACGUCGGAGCCACUGCGUCUGGACCAGCUGAAGGCAGCCACGGUGCCCAGGAUGCUGCUGCUGCCUCCAAGGAAAAGAAUUCUGAAAAUGAGGAAUUACAGCCUGGUGGUUUUGUUUUAUGUUUAUUAAUUUUUUUACAUCUGGAAGAUAAUGGAAAAAUUAAAAAUUGCUAUAAUUGCACCAAUUUUAAAAGUUAAUAAUAUAAAGAAGGGAGAGUCACCAACACCAGCUUGAAACCCAUCCCGCCCCUUCUUGAGAUAAUACCUGUUAUCAAUUUGGUGAUUUAUGCAAACGUAGUGGUGUACUGUUAAACUUCUCAAGAGGAGAAACAAAAACCCUGAAUUGUAGGUUUGUCGAUUUCAAUGGUGAAAUCCCACUGCAGCCGGUUUCAGGCAACCAAAGCUUUAAAAGCCAGUUCGCAAAAUUCUUGAAUAUUUAAUAAUCAGCUUUUGCAAGUGCAUACAUGCUCACAGCGUUUGCUUUUUGUACUUCAUUUUGAGGGAGGCAGGAAAUGGAAACUUGCAAUGGUAUUGGUAAGCAUGCCAUUUUUAUUUACGGUAUCACCACGUCUUCCCAGACUAGCAUGUGCAGAUUCACUUAGCUCCUCUCACUUGUGGGAUGGAGUUUCCAUGAAGGCGCACUGUGUUGCUUCUGGAAGGGCAGAAUCGGCCCCCCAGGAGAGGGGAGUGGCAGCAGCUUAGCACUCGGAGGUUAGCUCCUGCAAUGCUAUCCACAUUUGGCGUUUACUUGGAGUUCACUCUAGCUUCUGGUUUCUUCUAAAUAUGUUCUUCCAAUAACCUGUGGCCUAAUCAACGUUGCUGGUGAUACAUCCCUUUGCUCUGUUCAAUUCCAGUUUCCAUCAGAGAAUCUCAUUUUUCUUUUGGGAAAUGUUUCCUGAUUUUCUUCUUUUCCACCACCCCUCCCUGAGGCUGGGUAAAGUGCUUCUUCUGCAAUGAUGCUUAGAACCCAGGCCUCCUUCUGUGACAGGGCUCUCUGCACCUUAUGGUUUAUUGUGUGAUGUCUCAGCCUGUUUCCUGCAGAGAAGCAGAGAAGUUCUGGUGAACAGAAUGGCCCUCUAAAGAUGCCCACGCCCUAAUCUCUGAUGUUAUGCCUAUGAAUGAAUAUGUUACUUUAUAUGGCAAAGGGGACUUUGCAGAUGUAAUUAAGGUUACGAAUCAAUUGACUUCUAAUAGGGAGAUUAUCCUUGGUUAUCCAGGUGGGCCCAAUCCAAUCACAUGGGCCCUUAAAAGCAGAGAUUUUCUCUGACUGUGCUGAGGAAGAUGCCGUGAACGAUUCUAAGUGUGAGAAGGAUUUGAUGUGCCACUGCUGGCUCUGAAAUGUGGGGCCCACUUGUAGGAACUGGAGGGAGAGACUGGUUGCUAAGGGUGGCCCCUAGCUAACAGCCAACAGAGAAAUGGGGACCCCCCCAAUCCUACAGCUGCAGGGAACUGAUUUCAGAACAUGAAUAAGUUUGGAAGAGGAUCCUUCCAGAACCUCCUGAUAGGAGUCCAGUCCGCUGUCACCUUGAAUUCAGCUUCGUGAACCAGGAGCAGGGAAACCAGCUGAGCCAACCCACUCUCUGACCUAAGGAGCACCGAGUUGAGGACGUGGAAGUGCUGAGAUGCAACAUAAGUUCCCCCAAAUUACUCAGCUACUUGAGGCACAGCUGACAUCCAGAAGCUUCUCCGGAAAGGCUUUUGGAGUUCCCCAAGGCAGAGUCAACAAGAACAUGAGAAAUUUCACCAAAGCUCAGAGAUGUUAAGUAAUUUCCUUAAGAUGGCACAGCACAUGAAAAGACAAUCCGGCAUUUGAACCUGGCACUCUGGUUGUGAAACACUGGUCUAUAGCCACCUUGCUACCCAUUUCUUCCCCCUAGCCUUUGGAAUAUUGUGUUCCCCUAAUUAUUAUGGUAGUGAGGACAACCACGUGAUGAUGAUGAUGAUGAUGAGGAUGACGACAAUGACAGUGAUGGCGGUGGUGAAGGAGGAAGACAUGCCCUCAUUUCGUAUAGCAAUCUGCUUCUUGCUGGGAUUUCAAAUCCAUUUUCAUUGUUGAUCCUGAGAGCAAGCCUUGGAGGGGGAGUCACUUUGAAAUCCCAGGAAACUGGGCCUUAAGAGGCGGCUGAAGACCCAUGAAUUCAUGCGGUAGAGUCUGCGAGGCCCAGAGCGGAAGAGGAGGACAUGGGUGUAGCAGCCCACACUGCUGUGCCUACAGCUCCGGAUCCUGACUGUGUGAGUGGGCCCAAGGCUGCUGGAACCUCUGGGGCUAUAGCAAGAAGGGUGAGGAGGUUGCCCCACUCCUGCUGCCUUCAUGAACAUUGGUUGUUCCCUCAGGACAGGAAAUUGAGGCUGUUCCCUUGACCUCUCCAGACAACUUCGUGGUGACUUCAAGCCCUCUUAUGAGGUGGUGGAUCAUAGCUACCGUUGAUUGAGAGCCAGUCUUGGUGCUCUGUGUUCACCUGAUUCAUCUGAGGGACUGCAUCUACCCUGCCCUUGCCAUAGUUCCUGCCCUGUUUGCUUCUCCUGUUGCUGCUAGUGGACAUUGCCUAGUUCUGUGAUGAGCUCUUCACACCUGUGCCCAUAUGGACUGUGGGAGAGUUUGUCUGAUAUGGACCGUGAUGCGGGAAACUGCCAAAUUGUCUUCCAAAGUGGCUACAUCAUUUUGCAAUCCCACCAACAAUGAGAGUCCCUGUUGCUGCAAAUCCUCCACCAGAAUUUGGUAUUCAUGUUUUGGAUUUCAGCAUUCUAAUAGAAGGACAGAAUAAUGGGCUCCAGAUUCGCAAGCCCCACCAAGAGGAUCACCCCAGGAACCCUUGGAGGCUGAGGAAUUCACUGAGGCUAGUGCAUCUCGAGACUCAGGAUGAAGACCCAACUUGGGGCUGUCAAAGGUGCAACCUGCCAGCUGAGACCUCCAAGGGUCGAGCCCGGGCCCCUUUGCCUUGUUCAUGGCUUAGGCCAGUGCUUAGCAUAUAGUAAACAACUUGUAAAUGUUUAUGAGAGGAUGUGUGGGGGGUCAUCCCUUCGGAAUGGCACACUGUCCAUUAUCAUUGUCCUCAGAGGCUCCAGCCUCAGGUGCUUCUUAAACUUCGAUGGGAAUGAUGGCAGCAGGUGGGUCCAGGGCUCAGCACGAGAGCUCACAGCAGGCUGUGCUCCACCCCACGCAGGCCCCCAGUCUUGCCAUGUUUCCUCUGCCUCACCAGGCUGGCCUAGAAACUGCUUCCAACUGAAGCCAGCCAACAUGCCUGCCCCUAACCACACCUGCAACUCUAGGGUCACCGUUAGUCUAGAUUAGGGGCCCUUAAACUGUAGCCUUUGCCAGGCAUGGUGGCUCAUGCCUGUAAUCCCAGAACUUUAGGAGGCCGAGGCGGGUGGAUCACUUGAGGUAGGAAGUUCGAGACCAGCCUGGCCAACAUGGCGAAACCCCGUCUCUACUAAAAAUACAAAAAUUCGCCAGACAUGGUAGCGCACACCUGUAAUCCCACCUACUUGGAAGACUGAGGCAAGAGAAUCGCUUGAACCUAGGAGGUGGAGGCUGCAGGGAGCUGAGAUCACACCACUGAACUCCAGCCUGGGCAACAGAGUGAGACUCCCUCUCAAAACAAACAAACAAACAAACAAAGAAACACUACAGCCUUUGGGCUAAAUCUGGUCAGUGUUCUGUGCUUGUAAGAACUCUGAGUUAAGAACAAUUUUUACGUCUCUCUAAAGGGUUGAAGAAUACAAAAAGAAUAUUUAACAGAGACCAUCUGGCUAGCAAAGCCUAAAAUAUUGACCCUCUGGUCCUUUACAGAAAAGGUGUGCCGGUCACUGGACUGGGCAGUGCCGACGGCACCCCGGGCUCCCUGUGAAAAUUUCAACCAUACACACUCAUCUCCUUUCUCUUAUCAACACUGAGGCAGGUGAGAUUAUCAUUCCUUGUAAACAUGGAGAAACUAAGGCACAGAGAGGCUUAACUCAUUUACCUGAGAAUCUAUUAAGUAACAGAGCCAGGGUUCCAACCCAGGCAGUCUAGCUUCAGAGUCCAUACCUCCUAGCUGCACUCUGGGCCAUCAGCGUAGGGACGAGCUUCAGACAAGAACUCCCCUCUUAGUUUCCACCCUAUCCUGCCCCACAGCCAGUGGACAGGCAUUUUGCACCCCAGCCUCCCCCAGCCAGCUCCUCCUCAGAGAUUUCCUGCAGGGACUUAGACGGGGCUCUGGGACCACCCUCCUUUUCUGCCCCACCCGGCACCUGGAACUCUGCUUGAUCCUGCUCCCUCUAAGGCUGGACACGUCUCCAUGAGCCAGGCCUGAAGUUGUUCCCCUCUCUGGACCUCAGGACCUCCCUUCCUAGGAGCAAUUCCUGUAUCCCCUAUCCUCUCUGCCUUCCCCUCUUCCCACCAUGUCCUUCCAAUAAGGGGCUGGAUUUGUAGUGUGCAGCCUUGGGAACAGGGUUGGGCUCAGGGAUUGGGAGCAGAGGCCCAGGGCUCUGACUGACCCUCUGUCAUCCCCAGGAGGAGAAGCUGCUGUAUUUAGAGUGUCACAAAGAAUAGUGUUGGAGGCUUCAGAAACCACGGGAGAUUCUGAACUUCUAGGCUAAGCAGAUGGGAUGGUGCCUCUGUGAUCAACAGGCCUGGUAGAGGGAGGCAGGAGGGGGUGAGAAUGGAAAGACAGCUGCCAAGGGGAACAGAGAGCUUUUCAAGUCACCGUUGUCCCCUCCCCACCUCACCAUCAGGGCUAAGACUAAACCUAACCAUCCGGUUGCAGCCCCUCGGCCCUGGGGAUGGAGAUUAGUGUGCAUAGAAUGAAGGUACAGAGGCCAUGUUCUGGCUGUGUGACCUUGCACAGGUUGCAUAACACUCUGUGCCUCACUUUACUCAUUUUUAAAAUGAUGAAGAUGAUAACUACCUGGCAGGGUCUUAUAUUAGAGAUAAUACGGUUCCCAGCACUUUGUAAGCACUCGGUGUGAAAUUGUCUUCUGCUGCUUCCCUUCAUCAGUCCACCCCUCCUCUGCAGAGGUUUCCUCCAUGCUGAGCAAGCUGGCAGUAACUAAGGCCCUGCUGGGCGCAUCCCUAGUGCCUUCUGCCCAGGCCUCGGGACCCCCAGGGAUCCUGGCCCCUGUGGACAGGGACUUUUGUGCUCUCCGUCACUGUUACCAGCAAGAGUGAGUCCUGCACUGAAUUUCCAUGGGAUCAUUGUUUGCUAACAUUUGUGUGUGAGUUACCGUCUAGAAAGCAGCUUUUCUGGCCUUUUCCCAUUAAUUUCACGAAAGUUAUCUUCCUUUGCCGUUACUGCAGUCCUGUGAGAGGUUCAUUACCCCAUUUUACAAACAACUAAUGCUCCCAGAUGAAGUGACUCCCCCGGGGUCGCCUAGCUAAGCAGUGGAGAGUGGGUCUCCCACCCGGCCCUCUCACUGUGACUCCUGUUCUCCGCGUCAUUGCAUAUGGCGACAUGUGGGUCACGUUUUCACACAUCCCUGGCUGAUAUGGAAUGGUGAGCUUUUCCUGGGUCUUCCGAGGAGGGAUGCUUUCAGGGGUGUUUUGGAAUGAAGGCAGUGGAGGCCAAGAGACCUCUAGGUCAAAGCCAGGCAGGAGGGUCCUCUCAGGGACCCAGCCAACAAGUUGCAUUUCUCCCUCAGAGGCUUGAAGAGGCAGAACACCCGAGAGGAGUCUGGGGCCACCACCCAGCGUCACUGGGAAAACGGCAGCAGGAAAUGUCCUCUCACCUGCGUGCUCCACCUCUGUCCACGCCUUCCCUCCUUCUGGAAGCCUUGCCUGACCACUGGCCUGCCCCUUCUAUGGGAAUCGCUGCUGACCUUGCAGCUCACUGUAGACUUAUAUGUAUGCAGAAAUAUAAUUUUAAUUACUUUUGUAUUGCUCCAAGAGUGAUACCGAAUCACAACAGAAAAUUUAAAUAAACAAACUAGCCAAAUUAAUACAAGCAAUCACCCCAGUCAAAUACACCCAGCUCACAUUUUGAUGUAAAAUCUUCCAGUACAUUUCCUAUGUACAUAUAUAUUUUUAGGAAGGAGAUUAUAUUUUACAUGCUGUUUUCUAAAACGUUCUUUUAAAACUGUGUCAUAAACAUUUUUCCUUAUAAUUAAAUCGUCUUCUACAACGAAA